UCCAAGGCCUUUUUGAAGGCCACACAUUUUGAGCCGCUUAUGACAU
rfam:Echinostoma caproni strain Egypt genome assembly, scaffold: ECPE_scaffold0005302